rnacentral:misc_RNA from 1 species
UUUCCGUAGGUGAACCUGCGGAAGGAUCAUUAAAAAAUUGGACUACAUUGGUGAGUUCAUUAAUAAUCCCUACCCUUUGUGAAUUUGUUUGUUUGAAUAAUUUUUUUUCCAAAAAAGAUUAUUGAAUGUCUUUCCUUGUUUUGGUGGAGCUUGUAAAGUGAAACCAGGCAGGGGAAUGGCAAACAAUAAUUAUUUUUGAAAAAGACCUUUUUUUAAAAUUAAACUUUUGUAUUCAUUUGUCUAAAAUUAAUUUUUAUAAUAUAAAAACAACUUUUGACAAUGGAUCUCUUGGUUCUCGCAACGAUGAAGAACGCAGCAAAAUGCGAUAAGUAGUGUGAAUUGCAGAAUACGUGAAUCAUCGAAUCUUCGAACGCAUAUUGCACUUUUUUAGUUUACUAAAAAAGUAUGUCUGUUUGAGUAUCAGUAAAAUAUUCUCAUAAAAAACAUUGUUUUUUUUAUGGUUAUGAGUGUUUUACAACGAUAACAAGUUGUUUCACUUUAAAUUCUUUGUUAUCAAAAAAAUCAUUAAAAGCUAAUUUUAAAGAUUUUUUAAAAUUGGAUAAAAUUUUCCCGUAAAAAGGAAUAACCUAAACAAUUUUAAAAAAUUAAAAUUGGUUUGAUUUUUUUUGAAACCCAAAGGAAAAAAAAACGAAAUUAACUUGAUCUCAAAUCAGAUAAGAGUACCCGCUGAACUUAAGCAUAUCAAUAAGCGGAGGAAAAGAAACUAACUAGGAUUCCCUCAGUAACGGCGAGUGAAGCGGGAAGAGCUCAAAUUUGAAAUCUUCAAGGUUUUACCUUGACGAAUUGUAGUUUAAAGAAGUGUUUUCUGUUGGAGUUUUGGUAAAAGUUCUUUGGAAAAGGACAUCAUAGAGGGUGAGAAUCCCGUAUUUGACCAUUAUCUCCAGCUUUGUGAUACACUUUCAAAGAGUCGGAUUGUUUGGGAAUGCAGUCCAAAAUGGGUGGUAAAUUUCAUCUAAAGCUAAAUACUGGCGAGAGACCGAUAGCGAACAAGUACCGUGAGGGAAAGAUGAAAAGAACUUUGAAAAGAGAGUUAAACAGUACGUGAAAUUGUCAAAAGGGAAGCGUUUGACACCAGUGUUGUUUUCUCGAAAAUCAAUUAAAAAAGGCCGGAUUUUGUGUUGUAUUGACUUUAUCAGCUUUCUGCACUCUUUUCUUGUCUUUUUUAAUGCACUUUUCGUUUAACAAGUCAACAUCAAUUUCUUUUGUUGUAAAAGGGUCAUUGGAAGGUGGCUUUCUUUUCGGAGAAAGUGUUUAUAGCCUUUGGCCUCUGCAAUCGGAGAGAUUGAGGUCUGCAGCGUAGAUCCUUCGGGGUUAGAUACAUUUGUGCUAAGUUAUAGCCUUUCAUAGACAACUUGUUGACUAUGAUCAGUCAUGUAGCUUACUCGCUUAUGCUAUUUUACCUACGCUUAGGAUGUU